AAGACCCGACCCAAACAGAAAAAGGGGAUCUCAAAAGUUUCCAAAAUGUCUCUGUAAGUUUGGAUUUGAGUAGAGUAUCAAAUACUCUUUCUAUUCCAUUUGUCCGCAACAAUGGUGAUGGUGUGUUGCCAUAUUCGAAGCUCCAUUUCCUCCUUCCGUUGUGGUGAAUUGGAGCAAAUAUCUUUCUAUCAACUUCACCUCUGUUAGGUGGUAUUGAGUAUCUCUCAUGACCAGACUACAUUUUUUUUCACCCAGAUCCCGAGCUCUCUCUUUGUAAGAUAAGUAUUUUUCCGUGAACAACGUGGUCUCACAUAGUCGGCCCCAGUUUGAUUGGAUCAUGUAUAUUUAUAGUUGAACCUGAAAUUGAAAGGUGGCAAGGCUGUUGAUAGCACAGGUGUCGACUGCGAUAUCGCAGAGGCAGAAGUCAGCACUAAGGGAAGCAUACAAGAACAAGAAGUACCUGCCUCUCGACCUUCUUCCCAAGAAGACUAGAGCCAUCCGUAGACGUCUUACAAAGCAUCAAGCAAUUGAAUCCUGACCCUGAUUCUUAUGGAUACGUUGAUAAUCUUUUAAUAAUUGAAAGAACUGCAUAAUGAUCUGCUUUCUUUGGUAAUAGUUUGUUAGUUUUGUACUUGGUUCUUCAAAUGUGAUGCAUCAAUUAAUUUUAUUAUAAUUAUUGACAUUAUAAUUUUUUUUCAGUGUGUUAUAGUUAUAUGCCACUAAUUUUCCUUAAAAGACAUAGUUUAGUAUUAGAAGGAAUUCAACCUGGAUAGAGCAAAACGGAUAUAAAUGAUUCAAAUAGCAGAACCCAACUGGAUUGGAAAUGAAGUAUAGUUGAUCAAAAUGAUUUUGCAUAACAUCUUCUUAUCUGUGUUAUUUAUUAUCAUGCUUGAAAGUAAAAAGUUGUGUACAUUUAUCACUAUGGCGCAUCUAAAUCUUUAUUGGCACUGUAUUGCUUCCUUCUUUUGAAGAAGGAAAAGAUUGUAUUUACCAUCAAUGGUAUGCCAUGUGCCAAUUUACUUUUGAAAAAGAAUUUCAUGUCGUAUUGGGUUGUGCAAAAUGCUCAACCCAACUCUCAUAUUUGCAUAAAUGCCUUCACAAGUUUAAGUAUGUUGACAUUUACAUGUCAUUUAUACCUUUUUCAUUAGAGUACUCAGCAGUUUGCUUAUUAAAGGAGGACAUAAGAAGUUAAGAGGAAAUCCAAGGAGAGGAAAGAAAUAGAAAAAUAGUAUAAAAGAGAAGAAAUAUAAACUGUUCAUUUUUAUUCUAUUUAGAUCUGAAUUAUGAUGUAAAAGUAAUGAAUAUUAGUUGAUGUCCAUUCUCCAGUGGUUAUUCUGUUGUACUAAUAAUUUGGAAGUAUAAAUGUUUCAAUCACUCUCACCCUAACAACCACCAAUGACAUGCAGGUGUGAAUAAACAUUUAGACGUCAGUGUACCUUAUGGGUUUGGAGUAAUAUAAGGUCAUUUAUUAAUUUUCCCUGCUUCUGUUGCUUGAAUCUGUACAAUUUGGAACAUUGGGGUAUUAGCUCUAGUAUUCUUGUAACUGUCUUUUUAUAAUUACAUUGUAUGCAGUGCAUUGUUACAAAAAAAGGUUAUAUAUUGUAUACAGUUUGUCAGACAACAUCUCUUGAUUUCUUGGCAAAAUACCAGUUUGAUUUCAAUCUGUGCGUAUGUGAAGGUAAAUCCUUAACACCUUGGUUCUUCUCUUGGACAACUUAAUGACAUUGUAUCAUGUUGCAAUUGGCUAUUUUUAUUAGCUGCUAGUUGGGUAUAAUUCUGAAAGUUAAGGGUUUUAUUGAUUACUUGGGUAAUAUGGUGGAAUGGUGUUUUGAAUUUGAAAUGAGUUUGUUCUGGACUUCUGGUUUUAGCUGAAAGUGUUCCGUCUGACAUUAACAUGAAUAUUGAUAUAUGAUUGCACUUCAGGAACAAAAUAGCAAAAUUUGGGGGAACAAAUAUGCAGAAAAGUAGUUGGCCAGUCAUAAAUUUCUAAAGCAAAAAUGUUGCAGGAGUUUAAAAGGAUUAGUAUCAACAACCUUCUGCGCAAGAAUCAAUUCGUAAAGAUCUUCAUGGAAAUGAAUUGAAGUUUCUCGAUAAAAUUUGUGGUUAUUUUCUGUUUAAAUUAUUGAUACAAUAAUAUUACAGUAAAAUACAAUCACACACUACUAAAUAUUGAAGAAUAUACCUGUGUGGAGGCACCGCUUUACAAGCUAAAACAAACUAGUGUACAUCUAUGUUUAUAUUUAGUUAUGAAAAUAAUUUCCAUGCGAUGAUUUGAAAGUUCAUUUCUCGUCAUGUUCCAAAUAAUUUUUCUUGCCAGGUUCUCAUGUUUAUUUAGUUUUUUUGUAGGUGACAGAAUCUAUAGAUUUUACUGAGUUAACAAACAAAGAACCAUGGCUCUAAUCAACAAAGCUGGCUGUAAAACCAGAAAUGUUGUUUGGGAAGCGUGGAAAGAGUGGCUAGGUAGCUUUGAAUCUGGAUCUAGCGGAGUUUUAUGGUUUGUUAAAAUACAACUUGGUGUGGAUGUGAGCAGAGGGUUAAAUGUUUUGAAAUCUUUUACUGCUUCUAAUUUGUUAUAGUCAUCUUACAUGUGAAUCUAUUUCUAGCUUGAAAUGGGUGGAUGCAAGGCACCUAUAACAAUAUUUAUUGUUGAACCAUUUGUUCCCCAUGACCAAGAAUAUUACCUUUCCAUAGUCUCUGAAAGGUUGGGGUGCACAAUUAACUUUUCAGAAUGCGGAGGCAUUGAGAUUGAAGAGAGCUGGGACAAGAUCUACAAUGACAAGAUUGAAGCGAAGAUUUGUGUUAUUGGUGAAUUAUGUGACAGAGCAAAUAUGUAUUAGCACGGGACAAAAGGCAUGUAUUUGUCUCUGGAUCACAGGAAGUGCUGGUACUUCUUAUAGGCAGCUCAACGUCUUAGUGAUGAGUGGAAUAAAUUCAAGUUUCUUUCAAUGGCCAGUCAACCUCAAUUAUAAGUUUUAGCUGCUAGCAAGAACAAAGUCUUACACUAAAAGGGUUCCCUUAUUUAUUUUCUUUAAGAGAUGAAGAGCUGUCUGGGAACUCCAUUUGAAGGCAUUUCAGGGGAUAUUCGAGGACGAAUAUCUUGCUACAAGCAGGAUUGGAUUGCUGGAAUUAGAUCCGGCAUAGGGAUACUAGCUCCAACUACGUACAUAUUUUUCGCGUCUGCUCUUCCGGUGAUUGCUUUUGGAGAACAAUUGAGCAGCGAAACAGAUGGGAGCCUCAGUACUGUGGAAACUUUAGCUUCUACAGCAAUUUGUGGCAUCAUUCACUCGAUAUUCGGGGGGCAACCUCUUAUGAUACUGGGAGUUGCAGAGCCUACUAUUAUUAUGUACAGUUACUUGUACAAGUUUGCUAAAGGGAGAGAAGAUUUGGGACAGACCCUUUACUUGGCUUGGGCCGGAUGGGUUUGUGUCUGGACAGCUCUCAUGUUGUUUCUUCUAGCAAUAUUCAAUGCCUGCUCUAUCAUAAGUAAAUUUACAAGGGUUGCUGGGGAAACUUUUGGCAUGCUUAUCGCUGUGCUUUUCAUUCAAGAGGCAAUUAAGGGAUUAGUGAGCGAGUUUAGCAUUCCUAAAGCCGAGGACCCAAGUUUGGAGAAAUAUCAAUUCCAUUGGCUUUACACGAACGGGCUACUUGGAAUCAUAUUCACCUUUGGCCUUCUCUACACUGCCUUAAAGAGCAGGAAAGCCAGGUCAUGGUGGUAUGGCACAGGCUGGAUUAGAAGCUUCAUUGCUGACUAUGGAGUUCCUUUAAUGGUUCUAGUGUGGUCAGUUCUCUCAUUUACCGUGCCAAGCAAAGUUCCAUCUGGAGUUCCUAGAACUCUCUAUAGUCCCCUUCCUUGGGAAUCUGCAUCAUUAUAUCACUGGACUGUAAUUCAGGAUAUGGGGAAGGUUCCUCCGGCAUACAUAUUUGCUGCAUUAUUACCAGCUGUGAUGAUCGCCGGACUCUAUUUCUUCGAUCACGGUGUUGCAUCGCAAAUGGCACAGCAAAAGGAAUUCAACCUAAAGAAUCCUUCUGCAUAUCAUUAUGAUAUCUUACUCUUGGGAUUUACGACUUUGCUAUGUGGUUUGAUUGGAUUGCCUCCUUCAAAUGGUGUCCUGCCACAGUCCCCUAUGCAUACUAAAAGCUUGGCUAUUCUUAAGAAACAGCUGAUUCGGAAGAAGAUGGUUGAAAGUGCAAAAGAGAGUAUCAGGCGAAAAGCUAGCAACUCUGAAAUUUAUGGCAAUAUGCAAGCAGUAUUCAUAGAGAUAGAUAGUUCUCCUAUUAGUACUGUAGCUAAAGAGUUGGAACACUUGAAAGAGGCAAUAAUGAAACGUGAAAAUGAAAAUGCAAAUGGCGAAAAUUCUAAUGGUAUAUUUGAUCCUGAGAAGUAUAUUGAUACUUACUUGCCUGUUCGAGUAAAUGAACAAAGAGUCAGCAAUCUACUGCAGUCACUACUAGUAGCUGCAUUGGUAGGUGCUAUGCCAGUGAUAAAGAAGAUACCAACCUCAGUUCUUUGGGGAUAUUUUGCCUAUAUGGCUAUUGACAGCCUUCCAGGAAAUCAACUGUGGGAAAGAAUGCUGCUUCUAUUAAUCUCCCCUGGCAGAAGAUUUAAGGUCCUUGAAGGGGUUCAUGCAUCUUUCGUGGAAUCAGUACCAUUUCGAUGCAUUGCAAUCUUCACAAUAUUCCAAUUUGUGUACUUACUUGUUGUCUUUGGAGUUACUUGGAUUCCUAUAGCUGGCAUUCUUUUUCCCUUACCAUUUUUUCUCCUCAUAAGCAUAAGGCAACAUUUGCUUCCCAUGUUUUUUCACCCUCGUCAUUUGCAAGAGCUUGAUGCAGCCGAGUAUGAGGAAAUCGCUGGUGCUCCACAAUGCGCACUUAGCUUUUCUUUCAGGGAAACCGAGGCAACUCUUCCUAGAAUUGAAGGCGAAAUAGAAAUUUGUGAUGCUGAGAUUUUGGAUGAACUUACAACUAGCAGAGGAGAGUUCAAAAUCCGUACUGUCAGCUUUAGCGAGGAUAAGCGACCACAGGUUAUUCAUCCAACUGCAGACCCAGAAUCUGAGUGAAGGAGGGACAAGGUGACAUAUAGAGAUGAAACAAAGUGUUUUGAGUCUUUAUAAACUAUGAGCAAUGGAGUCGAGAUACAAAAAUAUAGUGUAUUGAAUCUUGAGUUGGUACCACAGACUGAUCGAACGCCUCUUAAGUCAAAAAUUCCGGGCUAAAAUGGAUGCAUGCACAAAACGAAGAAAAAGAAAUCCUUUGAUGGAUGUUACUGCGAUAAUAUUUUUGAAACAUCAUUGUCCAGAUUUUAAAGGUUGCAUAGCAUUUUAUGCCUCACAUCAUGUAUUUCAAUAAUUAGUCAUAUCUUAAUGAGGAAGCAUCUUAUUCUGCACAUA